GUUAGGGAUGGAGUCUCUAUAUUUAGCAAAAAUAUUAAUGUUUCUCUCAUAUCUAAACGUCACAUGCUGAGCUUAACUUUAAAAUUUAUUUAUUUUGUGUGUGUGAUGCAUGUUUGUGUGCAUAGAUGUUAGAGUGGAUGUAUUGAGUACAUUCUCCAGUCAGGUUUUCUUUUGGACUUGUGCACAAGAACCUCUCAUAAGCCAUUUCUCUCAUUGACCCUCACACACCAAGUUUAAAUGACAGUGUUGGGAUUAGAACCUAGACAGCCUGAGAACUCCAGGCUCUGGUAUCAGCCAGUUUAUUUCUUUAAUGGAAAGGGGGAUCCAGAAAGGAAAAGCAGGCAACACCUGAUUAAGCCAACAUUGGCUCAGAAUUGCAUAAAAUUAUAAGCGUUCAGUUGCAGUUGAAAAUUCGAUUCUGUAAACUCAGUAUUGGGUUUAAAGACAACACAAAACAAAAAAACCUUGUAUGCCAACAGAACCUGCAUUGGCUGAAUGCUAGCUCUAUAGGUUUUUUGGCCUUCUAUUAUCUACUUCCCAUCUGCUAAUGAACUGCCGCACAAAAAUGGAAAUGAAGAUUUCAUGCCUAUAUAUUUUAUAUGCACUUGCUCUCUGGAAAGUUCUUAGGUAUGUGCCUAAGGUCAGCCAUGAAAACCAGCGAUUCAUUGGAUGACUAAAUCUGCCUCUCACUCCGGGCGGGGCCUAAGUGCGAAUGAAGAGCGAAGAGCAUUUCCUGGAGACAGAAGCCAGUCACUGGGAACCUGAGAGUUAGAAAGGCUCCCUCUUGGGGACUUGGGAAGUGCUCUAGAUUGGCUUUGUUUUUGUUGUCCUAAUCUGAAAAUGACAACAUAGAUCCUAGCCAGGGACAUGCAGCAUUUUACUGUAGGUGAUGCAGCUUUAAUUGGUACAUAGAGGCAUGCCUGUGGACUUAGUCCUCGGUGUGCGGGCCAAUCAGAUCACUUUUAGCAUUUCUCAAUGGUUAGUUUCAUCUUAUAAUUAAGUAACAGCGAUCAUUUCCUGGCAGCUAAUGACUGGCUAGAGGAGUUAGAAGCCUCAUUAAGUUUACAAUUUAUCAAAUUCUACAUUCUCCAUCUGCAGUGUUGCAAAAAGAGAAAGCACCCUGGAAUUUCUAAUAGGGGCAAUCUCCAAACAGACUUCAUGUGUGUGAGUGGUAACUUCUUCAAAGAGUGACUUUAUUUUCUAAUUAAGAAAAAAACAAUUAUGUAUUACAUAGAACGGGGAAAAUCUAAAUGAAGUUGAGUCAGGGGAUUAUGGAAGCACGAGACGGGUGCAUGCUUUUAAGUAAAGGCUGGGUUGGAGGACGGUGAGCCGUUUCUCGUCGAUGAUGAUUCUGUAUCUUUCACACGAUGGCCGUGGGCAUCCACUAAGUCUAGCAUCUGUGUGUUUAGCCUGCAAGAAUUUCUUGAGUGUCCACUAUGUAUUCGAAUAGUUAUUCUAAUGCUGAAAACACACAAGUACAAAUCCCAGCCACUCUUAUUGAGCUGGUAUUCUCAUCUUAAGACUCCUGGUUUUAAAAUACCCCGGAAGGCUGUGGUUUGGUCAAGCUAGACAGAGUCAGAAGAGGACCCACCCUGCACCAUCUUGGUUGUCCUGCCUCUGUCUCUUCACUGGGGUGGCCGUUCUGUAAUCGCACAAGAAUCACUGUGGAUCUGCUGUAGUUGGGGAACUGAGACUUACCUUCUCCUUAGAGAGAGGAGGUGGAAGAGGAGGUGGAACCUCUCCUAGGGAUCUCAUUGCUUUUGUUCUCAUUAAAAGAACUGGGUGGAAGCUGUUCUCAGAGAAAAGAGUGAUAUCUGAUCUCUUGUUGAAAUUAUUGACUUCUAGAGCAUGGGCCCAGACACAGACCUAUCACUCACUCUAGAAUUUUGGAAAUGUGGAACUUAGGAAGGACCCUGACUCUCCUAUGCUCCUUCUGUCCCAUCUGAAGGUGUUCUAGAAGAACUCC
rnacentral:lncRNA from 1 species